rnacentral:rRNA from 1 species
UACGUAGGGACCGAGCGUUGUCCGGAAUCAUUGGGCGUAAAGAGCGUGUAGGCGGCUUGUUAAGUCUUGCGUGAAAUCUCGGGGCUCAACCCCGAGCGGUCGUGAGAAACUGGCAGGCUAGAGUGCGGGAGAGGAGAGUGGAAUUCCUGGUGUAGCGGUGAAAUGCGCAGAUAUCAGGAAGAACACCGAUGGCGAAGGCAGGUCUCUGGGCCACUACUGACGCUGAGAAGCGAAAGUAUGGGGAGCGAACAGG